rnacentral:lncRNA from 1 species
GUGAUGCAAGGAAAAUGCCGUUUGCUCUCCCUGUGUCGAUACUGGUUGGGUGUCUCUGUAUGGAUGCUUUCUUGUGUGGAAAAUUUUAACACGGUCCCAAAUCUUGUAGUAUCAGCUUCUUGAAAUUGUAUUCACAUUUUGAUCUUUUUCCUCACACUAUCUUCGGUUUUAUUCAUAAAACCCUGUUUGCUGUAUUUGGCUAUUCCUAGUUUUACUUUCUCUGACACGUUAGUAUGGCAGCUCAACUGUCUUUCUUUCAGCCAACUAAAACACUUCUUUCUGGGAGUAAUUUGAAUACAGUUAUUUGAUCUUUUUAAGACCCAUGUGUUUAGAAACUGUGUGAAGAGCUUGAUACAGAAGAGAAACAUCUCCUUUGAGCUAGUGUCCUGGAAAAUUCUGUUACAAUUCUGUGCCCCCUAGUGGUGCUGACGUUUUACCAGAACCUAUUCAAAGUGGAGUUGAGAAAGCAUCUUUCAUGAAUCUCCCAAAAACCAGUCAUGUCUCCAGCAAGCACUCGUCAGUCGUGGGUGCUGUGCUCGCUGGAGAGCUGCGGGAUGAAGGACGGUCCUGAGGCCGGCCAAGUGCCUGGCCUGGUGGGGGGAUAAAUGGACAUGUGAUUACACUGUGUGAGGAGUUCACAGGGGUUGUGUCCAGGACGUUGUGGGAACUGCAGAGGGUUUCCUGAAGAAUGCAAUGGCUGAGCCAAGUCCUGAGAAAUAACUGGCCUUUGGUGAAGAUGUGAGAGCCGGGUAUUCGAAGAGGAAACAUUGGAGAAAAUGUAAAUUUUGAGAGCUGAUCACCCCUUGGGACUGAUAAGUAGUUGGAUUCCACUGGAGCCCAGGGUGCUUUUGAAGGUGUGAUGGUGAGGAGGUGGGUGGAGAAGAAAGCAGGGACUCCACAGCUGAGAGUGUCAGCCGGAACUGCAGAUUCUGUCCUGACUGACAUCGGGAGCUGCUGAGGAAUGCUAAGCGAGAAACUCCACGUGUUGCUAUUUCCACUUUCAGAAAAACACAUGGCAUUAGUUCAGUUUAAUGAACAAACAGUGUGGAUUGAGCACCGAUGCAUGGUUCACACUGUUUCAAGCUGGGAGUUCAAAGAUGAAGUGUCUGUGUUGGAGGUUAGUGACAGCUGCCAAUCUGUGGACGGAUGUCGACCCAGCCUGCAGCUCUCAGGCACCAUUGUCUGGUGGGUGGUGCUGCCAUUCACUGAACUGGGAGAGACAUCUGGGAAGGCCAUUGGGGAAGGGGCAGGCAUGGAGUUCAAUUUUGUGUUAAGUUUGGCAUGCCUGUUGAGACAGUCCAAUGACAUGUCCAGUUGUAUAUGUGGAUCUGCAGCUCAAGAAGGAGCUAGGAUUCUAAAUUUGAGAAUCAACAGCCUAGAUACAUACAUUAUAUGUAUAUAUCAGAUGAAAGUGAUAGCGGAGAUCAGAUUACCUGGGAAAAUAGGUAGAUUGGCUUAAAAAGGAAGAGGCCUGUGGAUCCACCCCUGAUAGUCAGGAGCCUUCAGGUGUGGAAGCAAGGAGAGGGAGGGAGAUGAAAAGAGCGAGCUGGGUAAGCACUGAGAGUCACUGCCACAGGAGCCGGAAAGAGCUUCAGUGGGCAUGCUGGAGAGAGAGCGCAUGAGAUGAGAAUUUUGGAUUUGGCAACAAGGAGGUCAUUUGAGGAAGCAGUUGUUGCCUCUGAUUUUUGUUUUCUUGCAGAAUUGUGGAAAUAGAAAUCGGGUCAGAGUGGGCAGGAAAGAAGAGAAGAUGAGGGAGUGGAGAUAGUGAUUCUAGGGUUGUAGACAUCUGAAUUAAGGAAGGUUCUAAGAAGACACAGGCCCUCCCACAGCCCCUCCCACAGCCUCUCCCACAGGUCCUCCCACAGCCCCUCCCACAGCCCCUCCCACAGCCUCUCCCACAGGCCCUCCCACAGGUCCUCCCACAGCCUCUCCC